GCCAGACUCCUACGGGAGGCAGCAGUGGGGGAUAUUGCACAAUGGGGGAAACCCUGAUGCAGCGACGCCGCGUGAGUGAAGAAGUAUUUCGGUAUGUAAAGCUCUAUCAGCAGGGAAGAAAAAAGACGGUACCUGACUAAGAAGCCCCGGCUAACUACGUGCCAGCAGCCGCGGUAAUACGUAGGGGGCAAGCGUUAUCCGGAUUUACUGGGUGUAAAGGGAGCGUAGACGGCAAUACAAGUCGGAAGUGAAAUACCCGGGCUUAACCUGGGAACUGCUUUGGAAACUGUAAGGCUGGAGUGCUGGAGAGGUAAGCGGAAUUCCUAGUGUAGCGGUGAAAUGCGUAGAUAUUAGGAGGAACACCAGUGGCGAAGGCGGCUUACUGGACAGUAACUGACGUUGAGGCUCGAAAGCGUGGGGAGCAAACAGGAUUAGAUACCCGCGUAAG
rnacentral:rRNA from 1 species